rnacentral:rRNA from 1 species
UACGAAGGGGGCUAGCGUUGCUCGGAAUCACUGGGCGUAAAGCGCACGUAGGCGGAUUGUUAAGUCAGGGGUGAAAUCCUGGAGCUCAACUCCAGAACUGCCUUUGAUACUGGCGAUCUCGAGUCCGGGAGAGGUGAGUGGAACUGCGAGUGUAGAGGUGAAAUUCGUAGAUAUUCGCAAGAACACCAGUGGCGAAGGCGGCUCACUGGCCCGGAACUGACGCUGAGUACGCGAAAGCGUGGGGAGCAAACAGG